GAUGAACGCUGGCGGCGUGCCUAAUACAUGCAAGUCGAGCGAACAGAUGAGGAGCUUGCUCCUCUGACGUUAGCGGCGGACGGGUGAGUAACACGUGGAUAACCUACCUAUAAGACUGGGAUAACUUCGGGAAACCGGAGCUAAUACCGGAUAAUAUAUUGAACCGCAUGGUUCAAUAGUGAAAGACGGUUUUGCUGUCACUGAUAGAUGGAUCCGCGCCGCAUUAGCUAGUUGGUAAGGUAACGGCUUACCAAGGCAACGAUGCGUAGCCGACCUGAGAGGGUGAUCGACCACACUGGAACUGAGACACGGUCCAGACUCCUACGGGAGGCAGCAGUAGGGAAUCUUCCGCAAUGGGCGAAAGCCUGACGGAGCAACGCCGCGUGAGUGAUGAAGGUCUUCGGAUCGUAAAACUCUGUUAUUAGGGAAGAACAAAUGUGUAAGUAACUAUGCACGUCUUGACGGUACCUAAUCAGAAAGCCACGGCUAACUACGUG
rnacentral:rRNA from 1 species